GAUGAACGCUGGCGGCGUGCCUAAUACAUGCAAGUCGAACGAAACUUCUUUAUCACCGAGUGCUUGCACUCACCGAUAAAGAGUUGAGUGGCGAACGGGUGAGUAACACGUGGGCAACCUGCCCAAAAGAGGGGGAUAACACUUGGAAACAGGUGCUAAUACCGCAUAACCAUAGUUACCGCAUGGUAACUAUGUAAAAGGUGGCUAUACUACCGCUUUUGGAUGGGCCCGCGGCGCAUUAGCUAGUUGGUAGGGUAAAGGCUUACCAAGGCAAUGAUGCGUAGCCGAAUUGAGAGGUUGAUCGGCCACAUUGGGACUGAGACACGGCCCAAACUCCUACGGGAGGCAGCAGUAGGGAAUCCUCCACAAAGGGCGAAAGCCUGAUGGAGCAACGCCGCGUGGGUGAAGAAGGUCUUCGGAUCGUAAAACCCUGUUGUUAGAGAAGAAAGUGCGUGAGAGUAACUGUUCACGUUUCGACGGUAUCUAACCAGAAAGCCACGGCUAACUACGUG
rnacentral:rRNA from 1 species